GGGUUGUUGUGUGUAUGGGUGAGGGGGAGUAGGGAGAUGAGAGAGAAAGAAAUUAGAUAAGUGAGGAAGGUGGAAUAAGGUUAGGUAAAUGUUUCUGAUUUUUUCAAUUGGGGCUACAAUAGGGAUGACAGAGAAAAUGCCGAAGUGAGAGAGAUGAAAGAUAAAGGGUUGAGAGGAAUGAAAGAGGUGAGUAAGGAUUUGAGGGGUUUCUUUUUUUUAGAGAGAAAAGGUUGGAGUGAGAAAGAUGAAAGAGAAAGUGUUGGGAGGAAUGAGAGAGGUAACUAAGGAUUUGGGUUUUUU
rnacentral:lncRNA from 1 species